UGCUAUUCUCACCCUUUGUUUACCACACUCAGUUGCCUUGGCGCACAGCGCCAGCGGAUUGAAACUCCUGAAUCAUUGCUGUCUGAGUACUAUUCAAUAGUUAAAACUUUCAACAACGGAUCUCUUGGUUCUGGCAUCGAUGAAGAACGCAGCGAAAUGCGAUAAGUAAUGUGAAUUGCAGAAUUCAGUGAAUCAUCGAAUCUUUGAACGCACAUUGCGCCCCCUGGUAUUCCGGGGGGCAUGCCUGUUCGAGCGUCAUUACAACCCUCAAGCUCUGCUUGGUGUUGGGCUCGCCUUCGUCACGAAGGCCUGCCUCAAAAUCAGUGGCGGCCGCCGUCCGACCUUCAGCGCAGUAAUGCUCGUCGCUGGUAGGGAAGGACAGCAGGUGCCGUCAGCACAACCCCCACACACAAGGUUGACCUCGGAUCAGGUAGGGAUACCCGCUGAACUUA
rnacentral:rRNA from 1 species